UGGGUGACCUGCCCUCAGCUCUGGGAUAACUCCGGGAAACCGGGGCUAAUACCGGAUACGACCUCUACCGGCAUCGGUGGUGGUGGAAAGUUCUUCGGCUGAGGAUGGGCCCGCGGCCUAUCAGCUUGUUGGUGGGGUCAUGGCUCACCAAGGCGACGACGGGUAGCUGGUCUGAGAGGACGACCAGCCACACUGGAACUGAGAUACGGUCCAGACUCCUACGGGAGGCA
rnacentral:rRNA from 1 species